rnacentral:misc_RNA from 1 species
GGGUUUAUUGCAAAUUGGUUUGGGCUGUGGGGUUUUGAAUUUGAGUAUUUUGUAUUUGGAUUUUUUUGAUAGCCGGGAAAAUCGUGGGAUUGAGAGUUAAAGAAUUGGCAUGAAUGCAGUCGAUGUUGUUUCGGUGUUUGGGAAUUCAAAACUCCGAGCCGAAUGGUCGGUUAAAAUUUGGUGAAGUGGUUUUUUCUUGUUCAUGAGUUCUCAAUCGAUUGAAGAUUGAAAAAUGCAAAUUUUAUUAUUCUUUCUGUUCCCUAAACUCUCAGCAGCCAGACAGAUGGAUUUUCAAAAUAUGAUUUAUGGUGGAUUAACACAUUGAUGCAUUUUGGUAAAAUAUGUUUUGAUUUGCG